UUCUGAGUGGGGCUUUUCCACGUGGAGAUUUCCCACGGGAAGUUUAGAUCUCGGGCUGCCCACCUACCCGCAAGGUGACAGGAGGCUCUUUGACUCCUUUCCAAAAGAAGAAACAAUAUACGAUAUCAAUACAUCUGUGUCCAUGUAGACAGAUAUCUAGCCAACUUCUUUACAAAAUAGCUUCUCAAGAAAAGCAAUCCCAACUAGUUUUGUGAGUAAAGAAUGCUGGGAAACACAGGUCAUUCACAAAGCUAAAUGGGAUGGGGUAACUUUCACAGAAAGGGGAAAGAAAAUAAGAAAAAGAGAGAGAGAGAGAGAGAGAGAGAACAGAUGAUGAUAGAGGGAGAGAUGGACACCACGCCCAGCACCAGGUAGCUGCCUCACAUGUCACCCAAGCCAGGGGAGCCAAUAUCACAUCCCCUUCAUAAAGAUGAAGAGACUCAUCCUCAGCGGGGUGGAAUUUGAUGGAGGUUACCAAGGCAGCAAAUUACUGACCUAAGAUUCUAACUCCAGUCUUCAGAUUCCAAAACCUUUAUUAUUUGCUCCACCCCACAACUGCCUCACAAAGCAUCCCAGAGUCCAGUCAGCAGACAGCAGAGGGGACUGUCAGCAGACCAUCUUGAAGGGGAUGCUUAGAGCUGCCAAAUGUGUGAUUCAAAGAUUAAUUCCAUGUGUUUGGAGAAGAAGCCCUAGCCUCAAAACAAACAUUGGCCACCUUCCAGCCAAGGUAGUAUGGAGUGAAGGCCCAUGGAGGGACAGCUGGGCUUUUCUGAAUUACUUUGGUACACCUACUGUGCCUCGGCCUGCCAUGUCUCAUCCCCACGGCUGUCCUCAGUGGUGUGCAUGGUCACUGCUCCCUUCACCACUGAGAAGACGGGCACAGGACAGUCAGGGGACACGUCCAAGGUCCCACAUCAGGAAGGGCUGGAGCCAGAAUGUGGUCUCAGACGCUGGAUAUACAAAGAGACAAUGGUGUGACCAUCUAUACAGAUGGAACUGUGGCCCACGACCUGCAGCAGCCAGCCCAGAAAUCCAACACGUCACCUGCAGCAGCCAGGCUGGACGCUGGCCUGCCCUCGGGUGCCCUUAUUGGAGAACACAGGAGGCCAAAAUCCAAACACGGCAAGAGAUAACAAAUGACUUGUCUGGUGACUGAACCCUGAGAUGGGAGCACUGCCUGGAGAAAACUCUGAUAGUCAGGUCUAGUUCCAUGUGGCUCCAAACGCCUCCACCAUGAGCUAAAAGCAGUGACUGACUGAAAAACCCUCUCUAUUACAGACCACAACACUGAACCCAACAUUUCCUUAAGUAGGUUGUACUCACAUCAUUGGUCUUAUGGGGAAAUGUUAAGACCUCCCACUUGUAAGGUUUUAUAGCCCUCUAUGGAAUGUUGAAGAAAGAGUAAAAUGCAUCCAAAAAAAAACUAAACUGGAUAAAUUCUGAGGCCUCUUCAGGUCUUAAGAUGGCUGUUUUCUAGGUCCUCUUGUUGCAGCAGUGAAAUCCACAGACAUGGACAAGUGAGUCAAUUACGUGCCUUUCAGAGAAAACUUCUGACUUAGGAAUUCCAGCUAUUUGGCCCAACCCAUAUUAGACUGUGUUAUAAAGAAUGGGUAAAUUACAUCACGAAGGGAAGAGCAGAGGAAACACAACAUUCCUUCAAGACCCACCAGCUCUGAUGUUAGCAGAACACCCCUAAGGAGGAAAACAAGAAAUUUUGAAUUUGAACUUGGUACUUCCCAGCAGCCCCGGGAGUGGGCUCAGAAGCCCUGCUGGGGGGCAAAGAACUCUGAGGAUCAAAGAUGUUGAGCAUCACCUUAGAGGCCAAAGAUCAGAACAGUGGAGGUGGCCUUUGAAGCCCAAUCUAUGUCUUUCACCAGAGAGUGAGAACGGCCUCUAUUUCCACGAAGCUCACUGCAACAAUA